UACAAUAAGGCUUUUUAGGGUGGUGGCUCGCCCCUUGUUGAAAGGGGGUGAUGCCUAUGACGGUGUUUGAAGCCAUGAUGAUCAUGCUAACAUUUGGAUCAUUUGUGGUGUUACUACUGUCACAAAAAAAGUAACCACCCUCAUGCCUGGUAAGCGUUAGGGUCGUUACUAUCCUUAAUGCGAGCCGCCCCUAUAAGGGCUGUUGUACGUGACCGUUGGUGUGCCAGCACCAGCG
rnacentral:sRNA from 1 species